UGAUAAAUGUGGAAAGAGCUUGUUGGAAGUUGCUCUACUGUGUGGAUUGUGACUGAAAUGAAUCGAGCAGCAUCAGAAACAGAUGCCUGGGAGAUCCUGAAAAGUGCCUGUAGCCUCGUGGGAAAUGGUGGCGAGUGUCAGCGCAUUCAUUUUAUCUGCACUAAGUCUGAUGACGUGGGUGUUCAUUCAGCAGCUGAUGAUCAUGAUCACAUACUUGAAACAAACAUGAAAACCAAAGAAAAAGUGAAGAGAGAAUUCAGAGGACAAGACA